rnacentral:lncRNA from 1 species
CCCCCUGAACACUAAUCUGAACUAGAUCUAUAUAUUAGCUUUGAUGUUCAUCCAUUGCAUAUGUCUACACUCUUGGCAGGAGAUGAAACGACUGCAGUGCAGGCUAGCUCUGUGCUUCACAUUAGUACAUCCUACACUUCAACAUCACAGAACAUUCCUAGAGUGGGAGUUUUGGGAAGAGACACUUUGUGCUGAUUUCCAGAUGGGCUCAGAGAAUAACAAAUUCAAAAAGAAAUAUAUAAAUAAACAACACAUGACAAAACGGGCUUGGUUUUUUUUGCAAGUUGAGCUGGUUAUCAACUUAGGGUAUGUCUACACUAUGGGAUUAAUCCGAAUUUAUAUAAUUCGAAUUUUGGAAACAGAUUGUAUAAAGCACAUUAAUUCGGCGGUGUGCUUCCCUGUACCGGGGCGAUUUCCGGAGCGUUGCGCUGUGGGUAGCUAUCCCAUAGUUCCCGCAGUCUCCUCUGACUAUUGGAAUUCUGGGUUGAGAUCCCAAUGCCUGAUGGGGCCAAAAACAUUGUCGCGGGUGGUUCUGGGUACAUCCUCCCCCCUCUCCAGGGAAGCAACGGCAGACAACCGUUUCGCGGCUUUUUUCCUGGGCGAACAGUGCAGACGCCAUACCACGGCAAGCAUGGAGCCCACUCAGCUCAAGACAGCAGUCAUGAACACUGUAAACACCUCAUGCGUUAUCGUGCAGUUUAUGCUGAACCAGAACCUGCAAAACCAAGCAGCGAGGAGUAGGCUACGGCAGCGCGGCGGCAAGAGUGAUGAGGACAUGGACAUGGAAUUCUAUCAAACCACGGGACCCAGUGCUUUGGAGAUCAUGCUGUUAAUGGGGCAGUUUAUAGCUGUGGAAUGCCGAUUCUGGGCCCGGGAAACAAGCACAGACUGAUGGGACCGCAUAGUUUUGCAGGUGUGGGACGAUUCCCAGUGGCUGCGAAACUUUCGCAUGUGUAAGGGCACUUUCUUGGAACUUUGUGACUUGCUUUCCCCUGCCCUGAAGCGCCAGAAUAUCAAGAUGAGAGCAGCCCUCACAGUUGAGAAGCGAGUGGCGAUACCCCUGUGGAAGCUUGCAACGCCAGACAGCUACCGGUCAGUUGGGAAUCAAUUUGGAGUGGGCAAAUCUACUGUGGGGGCUGCUGUGAUGCAAGUAGCCAAAGCAAUCACUGAGCUGCUGCUACGAAAGGUAG